rnacentral:rRNA from 1 species
AGAUUGAACGCUGGCGGCAGGCCUAACACAUGCAAGUCGAGCGGUAGAGAGGUGCUUGCACCUCUUGAGAGCGGCGGACGGGUGAGUAAUGCCUAGGAAUCUGCCUAGUGGUGGGGGAUAACGUUACGGAAACGGACGCUAAUACCGCAUACGUCCUACGGGAGAAAGCGGGGGACCUUCGGGCCUCGCGCCAUUAGAUGAGCCUAGGUCGGAUUAGCUAGUUGGUGAGGUAAUGGCUCACCAAGGCGACGAUCCGUAACUGGUCUGAGAGGAUGAUCAGUCA